ensembl:lncRNA
AGCAGCUUUGGAACUAAGUGCAUGUCACUGGAGGACACCCCAGUCUAAAUAAGCCAACUGUCACCUGCCUCUCAGCAGCCCAAGACACUGAAGCACCCCCAAAUACCUUGGAAAAGCACCCCAGGACAAACAAGCAAUCCCCUGACACUGAGCCUGCAUGAAAAAGAAACAACACUUGUCUUCAAUGAGCCUACUUCUUCAAGAGUCCAGGGUACACUGAAGACCUGCUGAGACAUCCAGCCAUGUGGAGUGUGCAACUACUGGAUUCUUGGACUUUCUGUUGGGUUAGCUGGACUUUAUCCAGCUGGGGACCGAACCCAGGGCCUUGCGCUUGCUAGGCAAGCACUCUACCACUGAGCUACAUCCCCAACCCCUGCCUAGUGUAAUUUAAUGCCAUCUGAAAAUGAAGAAUGGGAUAGUUGUUUAAUGUUGUGAAGUUAAAGCCCUAAGUUAAGCUCUCCUAACUUGAGGAGCAUCUGGAUAUCCAGUAUCAUCUGUAACUUCAAGAACUUCACUGAAGGUCUUGGAGAAUAUCACCUAUACACUUAAAUUACAUUCUUUUAUAAAAUUAAAUGUGUAGGUAGAAGUCCGACUAGGAGAUAGAAGAUCCAUGGGAUCAUAAGAUAUGGGUAAAGAAAUCAAAGAAUUCAUGUACUGGCGGGAUAAGGUGUUUUGUGUACAGUGGUAGAGUGGC